rnacentral:rRNA from 1 species
CCUACGGGAGGCAGCAGUGAGGAAUAUUGGUCAAUGGACGAGAGUCUGAACCAGCCAAGUAGCGUGAAGGAUGACUGCCCUAUGGGUUGUAAACUUCUUUUAUAAAGGAAUAAAACGAGGCACGUGUGCCUGUUUGCAUGUACUUUAUGAAUAAGGAUCGGCUAACUCCGUGCCAGCAGCCGCGGUAAUACGGAGGAUCCGAGCGUUAUCCGGAUUUAUUGGGUUUAAAGGGAGCGUAGAUGGGUUGUUAAGUCAGUUGUGAAAGUUUGCGGCUCAACCGUAAAAUUGCAAUUGAUACUGGCAGUCUUGAGUACAGUAGAGGUAGGCGGAAUUCGUGGUGUAGCGGUGAAAUGCUUAGAUAUCACGAAGAACCCCGAUUGCGAAGGCAGCUUACUAACCUGUGACUGACAUUGAUGCUCGAAAGUGUGGGUAUCAAACAGGAUUAGAUACCCGAGUAGUC